GUAACGAUAGGAAGAAGAAGAGGACGAGGAGGAGUUUUUAUCGGCCUAGUUUAGGUAUUAUACUGUUUCUUUUUGUUACAUUUUUCUUCUUCUUCUUCUUCUUC
rnacentral:ribozyme from 1 species